UACGUAGGGGCAAGCGUUGUCCGGAUUUAUUGGGCGUAAAGAGCGUGUAGGCGGCCAGACAGGUCCGUUGUGAAAACUCGAGGCUCAACCUCGAGACGCCGAUGGAAACCGUCUGGCUAGAGUCCGGAAGAGGAGAGUGGAAUUCCCGGUGUAGCGGUGAAAUGCGCAGAUAUCGGGAAGAACACCCGUGGCUAAGGCGGCUCUCUAGUACGGUACUGACGCUGAGACGCGAAAGCGUGGGGAGCGAACAGG
rnacentral:rRNA from 1 species